rnacentral:ncRNA from 1 species
GCAGCCUGGCGAGGUAGGGUAUGAGUGGCAGAUUAAGGGCGAGCAAAAACAGGUUGCCGAUAUACAUAGAUACGAUGACGGACCAGAAGACCUGGGGCUCAUCUACAAUGAGUCUUGGUC